AGUGAACGCUGGCGGUAGGCCUAACACAUGCAAGUCGAACGGCAGCACAGUAAGAGCUUGCUCUUACGGGUGGCGAGUGGCGGACGGGUGAGGAAUACAUCGGAAUCUACUUUUUCGUGGGGGAUAACGUAGGGAAACUUACGCUAAUACCGCAUACGACCUACGGGUGAAAGCAGGGGAUCUUCGGACCUUGCGCGAUUGAAUGAGCCGAUGUCGGAUUAGCUAGUUGGCGGGGUAAAGGCCCACCAAGGCGACGAUCCGUAGCUGGUCUGAGAGGAUGAUCAGCCACACUGGAACGGAGACACGGUCCAGACUCCUACGGGAGGAAGCAGUGGGGAAUAUUGGACAAUGGGCGCAAGCCUGAUCCAGCCAUACCGCGUGGGUGAAGAAGGCCUUCGGGCUGUAAAGCCCUUUUGUUGGGAAAGAAAAGCAGCAGGUUAAUACCCCGCUGUUCUGACGGUACCCAAAGAAUAAGCACCGGCUAACUUCGUG
rnacentral:rRNA from 1 species